rnacentral:tRNA from 1 species
AGCAGGGUAAAGGAAUUGGUAAACUAAUUAGGCUCAUGACCUGAAGAUUACAGGUUCAAAUCCUAUCCAUACCU